GUCGACAAUACUUCAGAGAAUCAUUUCUAUAGUAUUCGACCUUCUCUAGGUUCCCUAAAGGAGCCACAGAUCCCACCCUGGUUGAUGAGAUAUAUCCUCGACACCCUAGAGUGAANGAACUCUGGUUGCUCUCGAUCCCUCCGCAAGGAGGGCGGUAGGAGACUUAUUUCUUUUACUGUAUAGAGAGCGGUGAUGAUCUCGUCCCCGUCUGUGGUCUUGCCCUUGGGCGCACGGUCGGGGUGGGUGUCGAUGGACGUCUGACAGGC
rnacentral:snoRNA from 1 species